rnacentral:rRNA from 1 species
GCAUAAUAACUUGUCUAUUAAUUAUAGACUAGAAUGAACGGGUAAAUGAAAUUUUAUCUAUAUCUAAACUAAUAAAUAUAAACUAAUCUGAAAGUGAAGAAGCUUUCAUUAUAUUAUAAGACAAGAAGACCCUAUAGAGCUUUUCCUAAAUAUUUAAAAUAAAUACAAAGGUUGGGUUGGGGCGACCAAGGAUAUCUCAUCCUUUAUAUAAAAGAGAUAUAUCUCUAUACAAAUAUCUUUUACCAAAAUUAUCAAUAAAAGUUACCUUAGGGAUAACAGGCUAAUUUUAUUUUAAAGUUCCUAUUUAAAAUAAAGA